GUCAGUUCACUGAGUCACUUCUGCAGCCAGUUCUGCUGCUUUCCAGUCCCUCUGUGUCCUCAGUGUCGAACACUCCCCUGCGCACAGCCAUGAAGUUUUCAAAGGGAUUGAACUCAGGACCUUGCACUUGCGAGGCGGGUGCUGUGCCACUGAGCUAAAUCCCCAGCCCAAAGAGGUCAUAAUGAGCUCACUAGGGUCAUGAAAACUCACUCACUCCUAGAGUGAGUGAAGCCAAAGACAAAUCCAAAAGACCUGUGGAUGUCGUGGAAAUUUGAGAUCUCGUUUGCCUUGUCCUCUUCCCAAUCCUUUGAGGGGCAGCUUGGAGAGAAUUUUGAACUCACAGGUGAGUGUCUUUCUUUCUUAAUUGUAAAUAAAUAAAUGCAUUUUUCUAGUGCAUAGUGUGCACAUUUAGACUCCUAAAGGGAGUAUCACAGAUGUUAGAAAUAACUUGUCAUCAUUUACAGUUUUAAUGACCAUUCCUUCUUGAAAUAGCUUCCCUAUAAACUUUAUCUAUUUUUUGAGGGUAUUAUGUUCUUCCCAAGGCCUCCAGCACUUUUGUGGCUUUGUAAAGGUGGAGUAAAAUUUUCUCUCCCUUUUAAUAAUACUCCUUGCGUCAUUACAGGUAAGUUCUUUAUCCUUGGUUCUUUAUCUAUUAACGUUUUGCAGUGAAAGAAAAUUGAGUCUAAGAUUUUAUUUUCCUUCUUAUUACAGAAAUCCUGCAGCUCUGAGCUGAUUUUCAUGGUGGGAUGUUUUAUGCAGCAUUAAUCUUGUGUCCGAUUUCUCCUGGGUCACUGUGUGUGGACAGAACUUGCUAACCUUUCUGGCUUCAGGUGGAUGCAUGAGGCUGUGGGUUCCCAACUGCAGAUUAGAGGCAUUCAUGAGUGAGGGGUUCCUGGGGUCCUCAUUUCUGAUUUGGGGAUUGCUUGGGGGCCUUAGGGUCAAGAUGAAUUGAGGUAGAAGAAUGACUCUGCUGGACUGAAUGAAGGGAUCCCAUAGUCUAACUGUUCAGAAAAGCAUCCUAGUGGGUAGAAAGUCUGGAUUCUUUUAAGAGCAUGUUUGAGAAUAUAAUCUGAUCAAUAAGUGUGCUUGUUUAUCGUUUCACCUGCAUAAAGCCGAGAGGGAAAACAGACAUGCAGUUGCUCCAUGUUUAUAAAUCCUUAGAUUGACUCCAACAGCAGACCCAGAUGGAGGCCCAUCAGGCCCUAGGUGGUCAGACAUCUCUGCUCUGCACCUGUAAUGUGAGACGGGAUCAAUAUUAAAUGGUAAAAUAAGUGUGGCAAACUCAAAGGAGUCCUGAACUUUUUUCCAGAAUGACUAUAUAAAAUUAUUUUUAUUAGAAAAAUGAAGUCAUUUAAUAAUACAUGGGAGAAAGGUGCCAAGUUCAUUGCUUUGCUCUGAGAUAUGUACAGUACCAAGUUCAUUCGGGCCCAUUCCUCGGUAAGCAGAGCCCCUCUAAGAGGAGCGGGUACUCCUUUCCCUAAGAGACGCAUGGGUGGAGUCCCCGGGGGCAAAGGGGGUACUGGGACAACAGCAAAGUGACUGUCACCUGGUGACCCAUUCGGAAAUUGGAAUAAUAUCGUCCUUGGGGGUCACCACUCCCCCUUCCUGCCCUCUGGGUGCAACCUUAGGGAUAUGAUAGAAGUUUAGAGUUGGAGUAACACAGAAGCAAGCCACAUCCAGUGUCUCCAGUUGACAGAUGGAGUGGGGACCAUAAGAAGUUAAAGAGCCACAGGGAGCAGGUAUGUUGCUGGCCUGUGGCUGGUGUGUAAGGGUAUGAGGACCCCCUUGAAACCAGCCACGGAGCAUUUAUGGGACACUGAAGUUUGCUAGCUAUGUGAUGAGGGGCAGAGUACCACCUUGCCCAGCCUCAGUUCCCUCCUGUGUGGUGAGAUUCCAACCCCUCCUGGGGUUGCUGGGGUGACUGAAUGGCAUCAUGAGGCAGCCCAUCUGAUGACAAAUGACUAGUCAAG
rnacentral:lncRNA from 1 species